ensembl:lncRNA
UAGGUACCCAACUAACAGAGUUGACUAUAUAGUACUGUACUGCAAUAGGUUUAUAAUACUUUUCACAUAAAUAAUUCAUAAAAAACAAACAGAAAAUUAGGAAAACAUUUUUAAUCUUAGAGGACCUAUGAAAGUAAAGCACAGUACAAUAGCUGGCACACAGGGGCUGGCACGGAGUGAACAGGCCAGAAGAGUUCCUGAUGGAGGAGGGAGAGGAGGUGGGAGACGGUAGAGCUGAAGGGCCGUCAGCAACAGGAGACGGAGGGCAAGCUAAGAGUUCACUCACGCCUGAUGCUGACGGCAUGGGUUCUGGCUCCUUGCUGGAACUAGAUGCACAUUCGUAUCUUUCAAAGUUUGCAGUUUGAAGGUUCGUGUGUAGGUGACUGUCGUGCAUAUCCUCACGCUCAGACAUUCACAAACUCACACUCACACACCCCAUACACAGACACACCCAAGGACACUCUCACAUAUAUGUACACACAAUCACAUGUACCCAGAGUCACAAGUACUUAGGCAGGUACAUGUGUUCACACAAAAGCACACACACACACACACUCACAUACAUACUUAUACACUCUCCCACAUGUAUAUACUCCCACACAUUUGCAUACAUUCAACUUUCCUUCUUUUAAUCUUAUACUGGUAUAUAGUUGACUUACAAUGCUGUUAGUUUCAGAUGUGCAGCAAAGUGAAUCAGUUAUACAUACAUAUAUAUGCACUUUCACCUUUCCCUUUUUGACUUAUUAAUAAAAAGAAAGACUGGGAAUGUCUUAUUUUAUUAAUCACUUAUCAAGCAAGAGAGAGUACAGCUGCUUGGUUUAAGUAAUACCAUCUGUCCAUCCAUCUAUCCAUCCAAUAACAUUUGUGGAGAGUCUAACAUGGGCCAGACUAUGACAUCAUAAAGGGCCAUCAGGCAAGGCCACCAGCCACAGGCUUCUCAGCUGCUGGAACUCAGAGCAGCCGUGAGACCCUCCUUCGGCCUCCAUGUGCCUUCAUUUCCCGACACUUAGCCACACAGCCUGGAAGCCAGAACAUCGCGCAAAGACCUUUGUGAUGCGAGGCCAGGGCACGAUGCCACAGACCCUUCCAGGUGAUGAUCUGAACUGCAAAGAUGGUCCAGCUUUCCCCCUGCCUGUCCAGCACUGAGUAGGGCCACAAGCUCCCUCCUCACCCUGGGGCAGCCGGAAGUUGUCCAGGGGCUUCUGGGUGUGGUGCAGAGGGUCGGGUUUCAGCUGUCAAUCGUGUUGAUGCUGCCUUUCAACCUGGCAGGCCCUGUUUAAUAUAUGGCUAAAGCUCCAUAUUCUCGAUGCACGGGAGGGACCUGGGUUCCAUCCCUGGUGAGGGAACCAGAUCCCACAUGCCCCAGUGAAGAGUUCACAAGCCACAACUCAAGAUCCUGCAUACACCAUGAAGACUGAGGAUCCCGCGUGCCGCAACUACGAACUGGUACCUA